AUUGAACGCUGGCGGCAUGCCUUACACAUGCAAGUCGAACGGCAGCACGGGAGCUUGCUCCUGGUGGCGAGUGGCGAACGGGUGAGUAAAGCAUCGGAACGUGCCCUGAAGUGGGGGAUAACGUAGCGAAAGUUACGCUAAUACCGCAUAUUCUGUGAGCAGGAAAGCAGGGGACCGCAAGGCCUUGUGCUUUAGGAGCGGCCGAUGUCGGAUUAGCUAGUUGGUGAGGUAAAGGCUCACCAAAGGCGACGAUCCGUAGCGGGUCUGAGAGGAUGAUCCGCCACACUGGGACUGAGACACGGCCCAGACUCCUACGGGAGGCAGCAGUGGGGAAUUUUGGACAAUGGGCGCAAGCCUGAUCCAGCCAUGCCGCGUGAGUGAAGAAGGCCUGGUGUAAG
rnacentral:rRNA from 1 species